rnacentral:rRNA from 1 species
GCCGCAGUUUUCUGUGCAAAGGUAGCAUAAUAAUUAGCUUCUUAAUUAGAAGAUAGAAUGAAAGAAUAAACGACUUAACUACUUUUCCUUAAUCAGAUAAUAAAAUUAAUAAAAAGUAAAAAAUCUUUUAUAAAAUAGAAAGACAACAAGACCCUAUAGAACUUAAAUUUUUAUUUUAGCUGGGGCAGCAAGAAAAUAAAUCUUUUAUAAAAAUUUACAAUAUAGACCUAAAAAACUUAAUUAAUAAAACAAGUUACCUUAGGGAUAACAGCGCCAUAUUACUUUACAGUUCCUAUAAAAAGUAAAUAUUACGACCUCGAUGUUGAAUUAAUUUAACUCCAUUAAGCAAAAGAAAUAAAAGUAAGUCUGUUCGACUUUUAAAAAAUUACAUGAUUUGAGUUCAGACCGGUGCAAACCAGGUCAGAUUAUAUCUUCUACAAAAAAUUAACAGUACGAAAGGACCUUAAUACAAAUA